AGGGCACGAUGAGGCCCACAACCUGAGCCGUGUCUUUCCGGCAUGGGCUCCGUGGCUAUAGGGUUCUGCGCGGCGCGCCCACCGGGUACCAGUGCUGCAGACGCAAUGCGGCAAACAGGUCCGCCGGGGAAGAGCGGCUUUUGGGUGUGGCGGAGCCAGGGAUUCGGAGGCGCGGCAAUUUUGCCAAGGGUCUGCCUACCUUUAGGGGAUGGGUGGUUGCCCAGGAUGCAGGGCCCACUGCCCCCGACCUCCAAUCUGGAGCUUCAAGCUCCGGUUGGCGCCAGCGCAGGCUUCCCAAGGCCAAAAUACGUUGGCCAGCUCCAGAAGCAAGCACCUUGCGGUUCCGAACAACGACAGCCCAUUUACCCGGAUAUCAACUGAAACUGGAAAUCUGAUUCUUGUCACAUACAGCACUUGGUGCUUCUUUGUUAAAUGAUGUGUUUUUUUUGCAGAAAUGAGGACAGCUCUCUUCCUUCUUGAGGACAUUUGUUAUCUUGGCUCUCGAAUAGAAAUUCAGAAAGAGGCAGGGACCAUUGGUGUGAUGGCAGAACUUGCUGGGCUUUUGUCUUUCAGAUUACAAUUGAAACCCAGGGGCGACAGCAACUUGCAAUAAAUCCUCCAGGAAAACAUCUUAUGGAAAUGUGGCCUGUCUAUGGAGACUGCUCAGACACCAUGAGGAGAGGGGACCCAGGACUUCCGAGGAGCUGUGUAAUUCCUGGCUUUUAUUUGUAAAUCUUACCAAGGAGCAUCAGAUCUGUAUAGAAAUCUGAGUCUGCUUCAACAUAAUAUAAUCUGAAGAUAAAUCUUACCACUUAACGUGCCUUGACCAAAUUUAUGUGAAAAGCAAAAUCUUAUAAUCAUCUCCUCUCCUAUUGUUUUAAGAAUCUAUUUGAUUUGACAUGGAAUUUACUGUUUCAGUUUCCAAAGAAACUAACAUUUUUCUGUUAGCAAGGCAGAGAGCUGGGUUGUGUAAUAUUUUUUACAUAAAUAAAUAAAUAAAUGUUCUUUACUGGUGCCCAGAGCCUGCACCCUCUAAAGCUUGUGUAAAUAAAGCUCCAUGUCAUGGUCACAUAUAAAGACCUUCCUUGUUUACCAAGAAAACGAUUCAUGUUCUGCUGGGAAGUCCAAGUUCUGUAAUCUUAACAAUUUUCUGAGUGGUCUCGCUAAUGUUAUAUCUUUGGAAGAACAAACACAAAUUCAUGAGGUUAUCAGUAAAUUGAUGUCCUUGGGGACCAGCUGUGAAGAGCAGAAUGACGAGCACACAAUGUUUUCUUCCUGAGCCUCGGUGCCAGCCAGAUCUCCAUGUUGAUGUUGAGUCUGCUAUGCAGAAUGGCAAUAUGGAAUUUUUUUUAAGUAUGCUAGUCCACAGGUUUAAGAAUUUAUCUGUGACAGCUCUACAAUCAGUCAAGAUACUCAACCUGAUCACUUGCUGUUUGCAGUUACUGAAGUCCCAUUAUAGGUUGUUUUUCCUCUGAGAAUCCUGUCUACUAUUGUCUUUAUACAAGAACCUGAUAUGUCACUGCAUGCAUUUUUUAAAUUUCUUGUAUAACCACCAAAAACCUAUUUAUUGAGCAGAAAAAAAGGGACAUUAUUUUGAUGAAUUUUUUUUUAAUGAUUCUUUUGAUGACUGCAUCGCAAGCUUCUGUUUUUGCAGAAUUCACUUAGGUUUGCCGCCCACCACUGCCGCAGUGAAGCUGCUCAGUUCUCAGUCCUGGGAAGCAAGCAUGCCUUCCGCACUGUCAUGCUAAGGACUCCAGGGGAGCUUUUGAAUAGCUGAAUAUUUGUUGAAAUAUAGAACUUCACAUAAAUACAGGGACAUCAUGGAAAUGUAUAGCAAUAGGUAUGGUGCUGCUUUAAACCUGGAAGGUUCUAAUCCCAGAAUCCAGAUCUGCGGGGUUCAUACUUGCUGAUCAAUUCAGUGUUUGUUUACCAGCACUGUGUGGUUAGCUGCAGGAAGAAAUUCCUGGGGUUUUGUCUUCCUUCCAUGGGUGCAUGCCACUCAGUAUGCAUAGUGCCAGUCCAGGCCAGGACGGUGAAGACACAGCGGCACAGGGAAAUGUUUCAAGUGGAAUCCGCACUGCAGGCAAAGAGCUCACUGGAUAAUCUCUUCUGAUUCCUUCUCCCCAUAUAAUGAACCAAUUUCAUAACUUCUGAUCAGUUAAAACUGGCAUCUGGCAGUGUGUGACAUGGGUGCCACAUGUGUGUCAAUUUCAAUGAAAAUGCUGCGUCUGGGAAUGAAGCCCUGGGCUUGCCUGCCAGCACCUCCUCCCUGAGGCCCCAAGCACAGUAUUUAUUUUUGGUACCAGGGAUUGAACUCAGGGGUGCUUUAAGCACUGAACCACAUCUCCAGCCCUUUUUAUAUUUUAUUUAUAGACAGGGCCUCACUGAGUUGCUUAAGGCCUUACUAAGUUGCUGAGGCUGGCUUUGAACUAGAGAUCCUCCUGCCUCAGCUUCCCAAGCUACUGGGGAUUACAGGUAUGGGCCACCACACCCAGCCCAGAGCACAGUUCUUCUAGAGGCUCUGUGUAGCGUUCUGAGCCGUGCCCUCAGUGAACCCUGGCCUAGACCUAGCCACGAGAAUUGUCCCAGGAUGGACAGUCACUUUCCUGCUGGCACAUGAGGAAAAGUGAGACUUUCCUCUUGUCUGGAAAUAUUUGGCUUCCAGAGACAAACCUACAGGUCAUGGAGAACACCUCCAUCACACUCCUGACACCUUUUGAGCCCCUAAAUGGAACCCAUGGGGUAUGCUUAGCAAUCACAUGAACCCAUCAUGUUUGAGCUGGGUGUCUGCCCCUUGUAGGGGUGGCACCUGUGGAUGGUAGAGCUCAGGGGACUCCUGAGGGACUGGAAGAACCCUGUCAGAGCUUCUUACCCCACCAGGGACUCUGAUUGACCUCCUGAAAAAGGAGAUUCCAGCCAAGAUGACUAGCAAAGGGAAAGAGCGGGAGGGGAAACCUGUGGGAGACCAUCCACUGUACUGACUCCGGCUGUGCCUCAGCC